rnacentral:rRNA from 1 species
AUUGAACGCUGGCGGCAGGCCUAACACAUGCAAGUCGAGCGAGCGGCGGACGGGUGGGUAAUGUCUGGGAAACUGCCUGAUGGAGGGGGGUAACUACUGGAAACGGUAGCUAAUACCGCAUACCAUCAGAUGUGCCCCGAUGGGAGUAGCUAGUAGGUGGGGUAACGGCUCACCUAGGCGACGAUCCCUAGCUGGUCUGAGAGGAUGCCCAGCCUCACUGGAAGUGAGACACGUUCCAGACUCCUACGGUAGGCAGCAGUGGGGAAUAUUGCACAAUGGGCGCAAGCCUGAUGCAGCCAGGCCGCGUGUAUGAAGAAGGCCUUCGGGUUGUAAAGUACUUUCAGCGGGGAGGCGUUACCCGCAGAAGAAGCACCGGCUAACUCCGUGUCAGCAGCCGCGGUAAUUC